rnacentral:lncRNA from 1 species
GGACGGGCUUGCUCGGUGCGGCGACCUCCUCGUCGUUGUCGAAGAGCACGAUGACGCUGCCCUCGUCGCAGCUGCGGUGCCGCUCGGCAAUCUCUUCCAGAGCACGGCGUUGGCGCUCCAUCUCUUACUUGACGUAAUCAGCGCGCGACCAGACGAGGCCGCUCUCGAGGUCGGCGGCUAUAUCCUUGUGCUCCUUUUUCACCACGACUGUCGGCUCCUUCUUCGGCUUCACCACGCGAAUGUGGUCGCGCGGAGGGGAAGGGAUGCGACCCUUGUUCAUGACAAGGUUGCCGCCACAACUGCGCCGGCGAAGUGGCAUCUCCUGUGGCGUCGGGCUUGACAGGAACGAGUGGCGCCGAUGUCUUAGAGGAGCGGGAGCUAGAGGACGGC